CACGGCUCACAUGUGUGAGGGAUGAUCAGCACCAUCAUCAUCUUCAUUCUGCCCGUCAUUUCCAGCAUCAUCAGGAUUAUCAUGCAAGUGCUAUUUCACAUGUGUUAUCUUCCAGAUUGGACGCCCAGCUCAGCCCAGAGAAGACAAACAGCCUCCCUCGACUCUGUUGACAUCCGCUGAAUGUCAGAGCUAGCAGAGACCAAGUUCUCUGCUCCUCAGGGUGUCCCCUCAGCAGUCGACUGAGACACAUAAUGACCUAGGAAGAAACCAUUGAGAGCAUGAGGCUUACGCCAAGCUCCUCAGAGGAAGGCUCAGCUGAGUGCCCCCUAUCUGGCUCACCUUCACCCUUUCACUUCGACCUCAUCUUUAACUUCCAACUCCAAGACUUUCCGCACUUAAGCAAAACAUCCUGGACUGUCUCCACAGACCCCCCUCCACCAGCUCUAGGGGAAACCCUAAACCUCAAAGUGAAAAUAAGGGGCCCAUUUGCCCCCAGGAAAUUAGACACAAACAAGCCUGGGGUGAACCGCUGGGCCAAAACUGUUUCUCCGGAUUAGUCACAGUUACCCAUUCACCAACGUCUCCCCAGCCCCCUACCCGCCUCAGCAGGCUACCCCUUCAGCCCCAGCUCAUCUGGAAGGCUGGCCUGGCCACCAGCAAGACCAGAUGAACAGCGGGUAAAGAGGGGAAGCUGGGGGAGGGAUGUGGCCUAGGAAACCGCAGUGACCUUCCAUCUGGGUGGGGCUUCUCAUUUCUUAUUUUAUCCUCUCGCUAAACUGUUCGAGAAACUGCUUGUCAGCACCUCUGCUUCCUUCCUGCCUACUAGGAGGCUUUACAGGCUUCAUAGGAGGAGGGUGGUGGCCCCAGUCCCGUCUUCACUCUCUAGGGGAAGGAGGCAUUGUUCUUGUG